rnacentral:lncRNA from 1 species
CCCAGUGCCUCCCAGUCCCUCCCAGUGCUCCCAGUCCCUCCCAGUACAUCCCAGUACCUUCCAGCUCCCUUCCAGGGCCUCCAAUCUGCAUCCCAGUGCCUCCCAGUGCCUCCCAGUACCCUCCCAGUCCAUCCCAGUACCUCCCAGUCCAUCCCAGUACCUCCCAGUACAUCCCAGUGAUCCCAGUCCCUCCCAGUCCAUCCCAGUUCCCUUCCAGGGCCUCCAAUCCGCAUCCCAGUGCCUCCCAGUUCCCUCCCAGUGCCUCCCAGUCCAUCCCAGUGCCUCCCAGUCUGCAUCCCAGUCCCUCCCAGUGCCUCCAACCCCUCUCCCAUUCCCUCCUAGUCCCAUCCCAGUGCCUCCCAGUCCCUCCCAG